rnacentral:rRNA from 1 species
CAAUAGCGUAUAUUAAAGUUGUUGCAGUUAAAAAGCUCGUAGUUGGAUUUGUGGCGUACGGUGUGUUCCGGGCACUUGUUGUCUAAGUAACCUGCUGUUGCCAUCCUUGGGUGGAACCUGUGUGGCAUUAGGUUGUCGUGCAGGGGAUGCCCAUCAUUUACUGUGAAAAAAUUAGAGUGUUCAAAGCAGGCUUAUGCCGUUGAAUAUAUUAGCAUGGAAUAAUGAGAUAGGACUUUUUUGCUAUUUUGUUGGUUUGCGCAAAGAGGUAAUGAUUAAUAGGGACAGUUGGGGGUAUUCGUAUUCCAUUGUCAGAGGUGAAAUUCUUGGAUUUUUGGAAGACGAACUACUGCGAAAGCAUUUACCAAGGAUGUUUUCAUUAA